UGAAAGCGAGCGAAGUGAAAGAAAAGUAUGAGAUGACGAGAGGAGCAACAAUUUGAGUGAUUCUUCUAUUCUCUUCUCUUUCCCCGUUUAUCAAAACGCACCAAUUACACGCGUUUUGAUUUCAUUGCAACUUCCGAUGAACAGCGCCGCUUAUUCUGCCGGAGUCUCGCCGUCGAAUGAGGCGGAUAUCGAUUGGGAGAUGCGUCCCGGCGGUAUGUUCGUACAGAGACGCGAAUCAGGUGACGAUGAUCAUACCGACGGACCGAUGAUCAACAUCAGUGUUGCAUAUGGUUCUUCUCAGCAUGAAGUUUAUCUUCCAGCUCAAUCCUCUUUCUGGGAUGUUAAGAAACUGCUUGCACACAAAACUGGUUUAAAGCCUGAACAGCAAAUACUCUUCUUUAAUGGAAAAGAAAAGGAGAAUGAAGAGAAUUUGCACAUGGAAGGUGUGAAGGACAUGUCAAAGCUUUUGCUUUUGGAGGAUGCCGCUAGCAAAGAGAGUAAUAUUGAGGAAGUAAGAAAACAAAAUGAAAUGUUAAAAGCUUUUCAAGCUGUUGCUGUUGUCGGAUCAGAGGUGGACAAGCUUUGUGACAGGGUGUCGGCCUUGGACGUUGCUGUCAAUGGAGGGACCAAGGUUUCUGACAAAGAAUUUGUUGUGACUACAGAGUUGCUUAUGAGGAAAUUGCUGGAGCUGGAUGGUAUUAAGGCUGAAGGUGAAGCUAAGUUGCAGAGAAAAGCUGAGGUUCGUCGUGUACAGAACGCUGUGGAUACUUUAGAUUCCCUGAAGGCAAAAAACUCUCGCCUAUCCUUUUAGCAACAUUGCUAAGGCAGACUCAGCACCAACCCAAUUGGAGACCUUUGACUUUGGAAUGGUAAGCUUGAAUGCUCCAACCUCAUCGUCGUCAUCACCACCACCAUCUACUACACGUUAGUCAAGAUUGGGAGCGGUUUGAUUAGCUCAGAAAUUGUGUUACAUUAUUUUGUAAAGCACGUGCAAUACCAUAUUUUUGAACCUUGAUUCUUCAUUUGAGGACCGGUUUUUUGUAGUUUGCUUAAGGCAAUAUCUUUAAACACUUGGACUGCCUUUGAAGAAUACAAAAAGGGAAAUGAAGGAGCAUAUUAUAGAUACUCUUGCCCAGAAAUGGGUUCAUGUAAUUAUGAAUUCAUCCAUUGUGAGUAUUGAUCUUGCCUGACGGCAUGUUAAGAUUUAAAAAUUUCAUCA